AGUGAACGCUGGCGGUAGGCCUAACACAUGCAAGUCGAACGGCAGCACAGUAAGAGCUUGCUCUUACGGGUGGCGAGUGGCGGACGGGUGAGGAAUACAUCGGAAUCUACUUUUUCGUGGGGGAUAACGUAGGGAAACUUACGCUAAUACCGCAUACGACCUACGGGUGAAAGCAGGGGAUCUUCGGACCUUGCGCGAUUGAAUGAGCCGAUGUCGGAUUAGCUAGUUGGCGGGGUAAAGGCCCACCAAGGCGACGAUCCGUAGCUGGUCUGAGAGGAUGAUCAGCCACACUGGAACUGAGAAACGGUCCAGACUCCUACGGGAGGAAGCAGUGGGGAAUAUUGGACAAUGGGCGAAAGCCUGAUCCAGCCAUACCGCGUGGGUGAAGAAGGCCUUCGGGUUUUAAAGCCCUUUUGUUGGGAAAGAAAAGCAGCAGGUUAAUACCCCGCUGUUCUGACGGUACCCAAAGAAUAAGCAACGGCUAACUUCGUG
rnacentral:rRNA from 1 species